rnacentral:rRNA from 1 species
GACGUAGGGGGCCAGCGUUGUUCGGAAUUACUGGGUGUAAAGGGUUCGUAGGCGGUGUGGCAAGUCGGGAGUGAAAUCUCUGGGCUCAACUCAGAGACUGCUUCCGAAACUGCUGUGCUGGAGUGUGGGAGAGGCGCGUGGAAUUGCAGGUGUAGCGGUGAAAUGCGUAGAUAUCUGCAGGAACACCCGUGGCGAAGGCGGGUUGCUGGGCCGACACUGACGCUGAGGCGCGAAAGCCAGGGGAGCAAACGGG